UGGGACUAGGAGUCAAGGAGGAUUCUGGGAAAUGUAGUAAAGUCUUGUGAUCCAGGCAGGAAGUGACAUAGCAGGCUGACUCAGAAUAUAAGCAGGGACAAACAGGAAGUUGUUCUCUUCCUCCUCCUCUCUGCCAGGAGGCCACCUCCCACUGGCUUGUAUGGUUCUGGGAAGAUCUCUGUUCUCAAUGGGAUUGAUAGAGGGAAAUUAGCAUCUCAAGGUUCACUGCACUCAAAAAGAGAUUAUACAGCCCGGCCAUGCAGAAGCUGAAGUGUGCCCAGCAUCGAUGGCAUAAGUAGCCAGUGAGGAGCUGAUGCUCCCUGACCCUGCAGAAUCUAGACUGAGACACCAUCUGGUUCCUCUUUUGCACAUCUGGCAAGAGCACAGUGGGAUGCAGAAGGGAGGAUGGACACACGAGUACCUCGUGCUCUUGUGGAAACUACGACAGUCCCAGAAGAAAGGGAAGAAAGGUACUAAUACCUCUUGGCAUUCAACUCAGCUCCCAAAGGUCCCACCCCAAUCAAAUUUCACUAUCAAUUUUGUGGAGACAAACCAUGUAUAAAUCAUAGCAGUGGGCCACUCAGCUAUGACCUCCACCCACAAACACCCCACAAGCCAGCAGAGAACACACCAGUGAUGGGCCUGGAAAGAUUGUCUGUCUUCCUCAGGACCACAGUGGUGCACAGUUCCAGGGCCACAUCCUGUGAUCCACCCUGAGGUUGUACCAUGUAACCACGCCCCUAUUCCUUCCCCAUGCUUUGAUUCUGUAGGUCUAACAAGGGAGGGAGGGAGAAGGAAGAGAGAAGCCAUAGCCUUGAGUUGAGGUGUUGUUAAAAGAAGCUGAAGAAUACCAAGUGGGUUUUAAAAGUUAAACUGAAUACACACUACCUGUAUAUUCACUGUAUGGACAGUAGGCCAGCCCUGCCCAUAGCUAAUGUUUCAUGGGCCAUGACAUGGUCUCAGCCAUGGUUACUGAGGAAUAGAUAAAGUAUGCCAAUCACCAUUAUUCCCCCUCCCCCAAAACUCAUGUAGAUGCUGGCCAUGAACUGGGUGGAUGUUGCUUUAACCCACUGUUGCUACAUUACCACCAAACCCAAAUUUCUCAAGGGAGGCAGAGAACAAUUUUACAGAUGGUGAGUAAGAAAAAAGCAAAACCAAGGGAAGAACGGUCAAGAUUACAGAAUGUGUUUUACUGGAAAGCAGGCAUUGCUUGCGAUCUCCCAUCAACAACUGAAUUGUAUCAAAGCGAUGCUGCCUAACAGUCAUGCAGGGAACCCGAGAGAGUGGCCAGGCUACUGUAUUUUCUAGUUAGUUUAUUGGUUCACUGACGGCAAGGGCUACUUCUAAAAUGCUUGAAACAUUUAUUCAUGCCUGUGUUCUUUAUCUAAUAGCCUCCUUCAUAAAGCCAGAUUCCAGCCCAUCUGAUUACCUACUGUGAAAGAAUGGAUCCUGAACUAAUUAACAGAUUACCUAAAGGAAGACCCAGAGGCACCACAGCCAGUGUCUACAGGAGCUGACUCUCGAGGAUGUGGCCUGUGGUCAGUAUUACACUGGGCAUGAGU
rnacentral:lncRNA from 1 species